rnacentral:misc_RNA from 1 species
UCGUGGGGCUCCGGCCCCGUCGAGAUAGCACCCUUGACUUUUCAAGCACUGUACGUUUCCUCGGCAGGCUCGCCUGCCAAUGGGGACCCCGAAAACUCUCCUGCAAUGAGCAGUGCUCUGUCUGAUUAAAGCAAGCAAAAAUAUAUCA